GGGUCGUUCAAAAGUGAACUCUAAACUUGGUUAAAUUAAUGCUAGACCCAACUUGAGCAAUUUCCAACCAGGCUCAAACGCAACCUUGCUUCUAGCUUAGGCUAGGGCUGUUUUGCUCGAUUUGGCCCAUGUCCAAUCUUGGACGAAGCCCAACUAUGAUCAUGUGAAAGGAGAAGCACACUGAACAAAUGACAAGUCUUGAAAGGCCUAUUCCAGUGAACUGGAUUGAACUUGGGUUGACCUUAUCCAUUGAGAAAUUCUUUAUGCAUC
rnacentral:lncRNA from 1 species